UCCGGUGGCGAUGCGUUUAGGGGUCACACCCGUUAUACAUCCCGAACACGAUGGUUAAGCCUUAAGCGGCCGAUGAUACUAUGCUGGAGACGGCAUGGGAAAGCAGGUGGCUGCCAGAU
rnacentral:rRNA from 1 species